rnacentral:lncRNA from 1 species
CCCCAGCUUCCAACAAAUCUAGACAGAUCAGUCAGCUAUAGCCCUCAAAAUUCAUAAUAACUCAGAAUGUCUCAUUAACCCACCACUAGAUUCUCCAAAGCUUUCUGCUUAAAGAAGCUACAGCAUCAUCUUGUCAGCUUUUAUCCCAUCAACCUACCAAAAUCUGUAUGACAUGCAUCACUGCAUGACCAAUUCAUAGUUCAAUUCAUCUAGUUUUGAAGAAUUAAUCUUCAACACACUCAGCAAUCAUCUUUUCAGCCAAAAACAACGCUAGCAGAUUUAUUCGUAAAGGUAAUGAUGUGGUCUAGAGAAAAAAAUAGACCAUUAUGCAUACAAAACCUGACAAAAUUCCAGUAACCUUUCAUUCACUAAGAAUCUGUUAAGGAAACAUUUUACCGAUCAUUUCGGUUGAGCUUUUAGCUGGAAUGUUAAUCGUACAGGUGCACCAGAUAGCAUGAAAACCAACGCAUUCCUGGUUUCCCUUUUGUGUUAAUUAGGGUAAUAAUUCAUAAGCUUCAUUUAUAUGACCAUGCAUGUACCCUCAACUUCCCUUGCAGCCACUGAUCCAGAUGUCAACCGGAACUAAUGAAUAUAUUUACCUGAAAAUCACACACUUUAGGGACUACAUAAUGGAAUAGAAUAUUAGUAAUCUAUGAAAAUAAAGCUAUGAUGCUUUACAAAAGCAAAAUAAAAAAGUAAUAUUGAAAAGAGAUCAGAACACACCAAUGCAACAGGCUAAUGCUUUCUUUAGUAUUGCCCUACCAAGGAUAGGCUGCAGGGCGAUUUUCAAUGACAUGAACAAGAACCUUAUAAAGAUGCUAGACACAGAACUACCAGAAUAAUGCGUUUCAAAGUAACAUCAGAUGUCA